rnacentral:rRNA from 1 species
GCAAGUCGAGCGAGAAAGGUCUUCGGACUGAGUACAGCGGCGGACGGGUGAGUAACGCGUAGGAAUCUACCUGGUAGUGGGGGACAACAUGGGGAAACCCAUGCUAAUACCGCAUACGCCCCAAGGGGGAAAGCGGGGGACCUUCGGGCCUCGCGCUAUCAGAUGAGCCUGCGUAGGAUUAGCUUGUUGGUGAGGUAACGGCUUACCAAGGCAGCGAUGGUUAGGGGCCCUGAGAGGGGGAUC